GGGGUUGUAGCUCAGUGGUAGAGCACUUGCCUAGCUAGCAUGCAUGGGGCACUGGGUUGGAGCCUCAGCACUACA
rnacentral:tRNA from 1 species